AUUGAACGCUGGCGGCAUGCCUUACACAUGCAAGUCGAACGGUAACAGGUCUUCGGAUGCUGACGAGUGGCGAACGGGUGAGUAAUACAUCGGAACGUGCCUAGUAGUGGGGGAUAACUACUCGAAAGAGUGGCUAAUACCGCAUGAGAUCUACGGAUGAAAGCAGGGGAUCGCAAGACCUCGCGCUACUAGAGCGGCCGAUGGCAGAUUAGGUAGUUGGUGGGAUAAAAGCUUACCAAGCCGACGAUCUGUAGCUGGUCUGAGAGGACGAUCAGCCACACUGGGACUGAGACACGGCCCAGACUCCUACGGGAGGCAGCAGUGGGGAAUUUUGGACAAUGGGCGCAAGCCUGAUCCAGCAAUGCCGCGUGCAGGAUGAAGGCCUUCGGGUUGUAAACUGCUUUUGUACGGAACGAAAGGCCCUGGGUUAAUACCCUGGGGUCAUGACGGUACCGUAAGAAUAAGCACCGGCUAACUACGUGCCAGCCGCCGCCGUAAGAC
rnacentral:rRNA from 1 species